GACUGUCCGGAUAAGCGGAGCUAAAAGCAGCCACUGCUCCACAACACAACCACUCUGCCGGCGCUGCGUCCUUCUCGCUGCCUCGGAACCACUGAGCAGUCAGUACCUGGAUAAGGAUCAUCUCAUUGCCCUAGAUGCAAUGGUCCCAAGCUGUCCUUGAGGCUGAGGUAGUAGAUUGAAUAGUUGUGGAGUCCUAUCCUCCCUUUGAGCUAACUAUACAAUCUACUGUCUUUCCUAAGGAGACAGUCAGAUCUUCAGUUCAUCUGCUUCCACACAAAGCAUGGAGAGAGGUGGUGCAAGAAAUCCUGCUCUUCCACAAAGCCAGGGAAUCACACCAGACCUCUGUACUGCUCUGUGGAGAGCAGCAAUGCCACCAGAGGAGAUGCUCAGCCACAGAGGAGAGGUCCUGGAGCAAAAAAAACCAGCACAUGGCACUACUGAACAACACAGUGGGUCUUCUACAGCACCUAGGAUUGUGUUAUUCCAGGGAAUAACUACAUAACACCUACAUAAAGAAGAAUGCAUCUCUCAUUUUUAAUGGCUGCAAGAGAAACAAUGAAAUGAGCUGGCUUAGCCCAUGGACUGAAAGCCCUGUGAGCUGAUCAGAUUUUGGCUGGUUGGCCCCUGGAAGUACAUUCUGGUUUUGGACAAGUUCCCAGCUCUCCCAUGGGACAGAGUUAGAGGGUGGUUCUUUCUGAUUUGAUAAUCUCUAUCAACCCAACUCACAUGCAAACCCUGCUGGAGAGAUUAGGGCUCCUAUGUAUUUAUGUAAGAUAAGCCAACAAUUCAGACCAAUGCCCCAUCCUCCUCAGGAGACAGGUGAGAAAGAGAGAUGAGCCAAAGGCAGCAAGUCCUAAUCCUUCCUGUUCCUGCCAGGUAGGUGGCACUGACAUCUGACAGCAGAUGCAGGAGAUGACAGCCUGCUUCAGAGCUCUGGCACUUGACAAGGGACAGAGAAUGGUUAUUUCUUCCCCUUGUGAGAAGCAGAUGGGACAACCCCUCUGCCACAUUCCAGAGUAAAUAGAAUCCAGAUCACAGGAGGGACUGUAACUCGAUGAGGGCUGCACCAGUUUCUCAAGACUGAAGGAUGUCUGGGGACAUUAUCACUGGCAUCUCACUGCCAGGGGAACAUGUGAGAUCUGAGACACUGAGGAGCAAGGGCAAACUGAGGGCACCUUCUCAGAUGAAUUGGGAGGAAGAGAGCUGCAAUAAGAAAUUGGAGCCCUCAAAUUUCACCCUGGAAAUGAAACAUGGGGCGAUUCAGACCUGGCUGCUUGGGCUCUGGGACUCUCAUCAGUGAUGCAGCUCAUUUAAGGCUCCUCUGCUUCUUGGGAUAGGGCGUAGCUUCAGCAAGGCUGGGAUGGGAUUUACUCAGGCUGGGCAACAGCUGAAGGGUGGGGAUGCUGAGUAUCUAGCAGCAGAGGAAUGCAGCCCUCUGCUCCAUACAUCUGGCUUUCCAGGAGUCAUGGGGACCUGCCACACAAAGCUACAGCUCGCUUCUCUUCUACACAUUCUAACCCUCUAUGUACCUCCUCAGGGGAAGGGCUUCUAUCCCCAGCAUUGCUCGGAAGGUACCAAAACAGCAGCACAAGUAUGGGAACAGGGCAGCACGUCAGCUUCAUGUUUAAGGGGUGUCCCCUGGAAAAGGAUUAACCCUGUGGGUCCCAAACGAAAUCAGUUCACUCCCCAUCCACUGCACUGAUGUUAAUGCAAAGAAUUUUAAGCAGUAAAAUAGUGUGAGAUGAAAACCACGAAUAAAAUACCACUAGAGAUACUCUUCUGUGAAAAUAAACUUGCUUUGACUAUUGUA